CGCAGCCGCGGUAAUUCCAGCUCCAAUAGCGUAUAUUAAAGUUGUUGCAGUUAAAAAGCUCGUAGUUGAAUUUCGGGGUUAGUAGGUUGGUCAUGCCUCUGGUAUGUACUGGUCUCACUGAUUCCUCCUUCCUGAUGAGCCGUAAUGCCAUUAAUUUGGUGUUGCGGGGAAUUUGGACUGUUACUUUGAAAAAAUUAGAGUGUUUAAAGCAAGCUAACGCUUGAAUACAUUAGCAUGGAAUAAUGAAAUAGGACGUUCGAUCCUAUUUUGUUGGUUUCUAGGAUUGACGUAAUGAUUAAUAGGGAUAGUUGGGGGCAUUAGUAUUCAAUUGUCAGAGGUGAAAUUCUUGGAUUUAUUGAAGACUAACUACUGCGAAAGCAUUUGCCAAGGAUGUUUUCAUUAAUCAAGAACGAAAGUUAGGGGAUCGAAGACGAUCAGAUACCGUCGUAGACUUAACCAUAAACUAUAGCC
rnacentral:rRNA from 1 species